rnacentral:tRNA from 1 species
UUAUAAGAAGUAAAAAAUUACAUUUGAUUUCGAAUCAAAAUUUUGAUUUAAACACUUUAAUCCUUAUAAA